rnacentral:lncRNA from 1 species
GCUUUGCGAUGAUUUGUAAUUUGAAAAGCGCUAUACAAAUAAACUUGAAUUGAAUUGAACUGAAAUAUUUCUGGCAACAUUCUGCGGUGAGUUGAGUUCCUUUCUGCAUAAAUAGUGGUUACACAAACACAGAUGAGGAACACAACACAGUCCACCACGGGAGAGAAACUAGUGUUAGAUUAUUGACCCUGAAACUGUCAGAAAGUGAACAAAAAUAUAGAAAAGGGAAAAUGAACAGAGAACAUGGGAAAAACGUCAAUGAUAUCUGUGAAAAUGACUUUGUCACAAAAGGAACAUUUGCAAAAAGGACCACAGACAGUCACACAACGAGAAUCCAGUCAUCUGAACUCACAGGUACUGAGAUUAAGAAUAUUUCAUCACACAAACAUAGCACAAAUUUGAUUAAUCAUCUAAAAGCCAAACAUUUGCUCAGUUUUCAUGUUUUCAGUUGCUGUGUGUUGUUUUAAAUUGAUAAAUCAAGAGAAUAAAGUCAUGUUUGUGUUGAUGGUCAGGAAGUGAUGACGUGAUGAUCAGAUACUCCAGAGCAGUUGCAGUAGUGUUUGUGCUGCUGUGUGUUCUUCUGCUGACUGCACGCAUAAUACUGUGUGCCACCUUCGAUCAAGAGAGACAACAGCUACUAACUAAGAUCACCAACCUCACAGAAGAGAGAGAACAGCUACUAACUAAGAUCACCAACCUCAAAGAAGAGAGAGACCAGUUCAAAUCAGAAAGCAAUGAACUUCAGAAGUGUUCUGCAGGUUUGGAGUACUAUUAUUACGCAGACCAGAUUAAGCCAAUAUUGAGCUGAUGCAAGAGGAUAACAGAUCAAAGUGGAAAUGUAUGGAAACUGGCUCACUUGAGGCAAUCAGUACAUUAAUAUUUUGUGGAAGAAAGAAAAAGGUAAAUACUAGUUACUAUUGUAUAGGUGAAACUUUUAAAUGUUGGAGAAGAAUUUGCAAAGUAAUGAAUAUUAGUGAUCGCGAGAUGGUUUGUUUAAGAGAAAUAGCAAGAGAUCCAGAUUUUAAACCAAAUACUUUUGAUGAUGUUAAGGUUCGAGCUAGCAUAUGUAUUUAAAGAAAUUAAGGAUACAGAUUUGGAGCAAGGGGUCGAAGUCUUUCUGUCCCUUUGGCACACGGGUUUCAGUACGAAGUACAGGGAGGUGGUAGCUCGCCUAAAAGUUCUGAAAUGAGGGAGCUGAGAGAAAUGUUAAAGUUACAACAAGAGCAGUUAAAUCAGCUCACCCAGAAUCUUGCCCGGUUGCAGACGCCCCCAUUCUCGCACCCAGUCUUUCCGUAGUGGGCCCGUUAUCUGUACAAAGUAAUGAAUGUUAGUGAUCGCGAGAUGGUUUGUUUAAGAGAAAUAGCAAGAGAUCCAGAUUUUAAACCAAAUAUACUUUUGAUGAUGUUAAGGUUCGAGCUAGCAUAUUUAUUUAAAGAAAUUAAGGAUACAGAUUUGGAGCAAGGGGUCGAAGUCUUUCUGUCCCUUUGGCACACGGGUUUCAGUACGAAGUACAGGGAGGUGGUAGCUCGCCUAAAAGUUCUGAAAUGAGGGAGCUGAGAGAAAUGUUAAAGUUACAACAAGAGCAGUUAAAUCAGCUCACCCAGAAUCUUGCCCGGUUGCAGAGCCCCCAUUCUCGCACCCAGUCUUUCCGUAGUGGGCCCGUUAUCUGUAGGCGGUGUCAAAAACCAGGCCACUUUGCACAGGAAUGUGAUGGGGAACUACCGUGUUGAAGAGUCACAGCUCGGUUGGGGAAAAGAUUGGCUCCGACAGUAAUAAAUUUACUUCUAUUUCAAAUUUAAUGUUGCCCUCCACAUC